UACGUAGGGGGCUAGCGUUGUCCGGAAUCAUUGGGCGUAAAGAGCGUGUAGGCGGUCCGGUAAGUCCGCUGUGAAAGUCGGGGGCUCAACCCUCGAAUGCCGGUGGAUACUGUCGGGCUAGAGUGCGGAAGAGGCGAGUGGAAUUCCUGGUGUAGCGGUGAAAUGCGCAGAUAUCAGGAGGAACACCUAUUGCGAAGGCAGCUCGCUGGGACGUAACUGACACUGAGGAGCGAAAGCCAGGGGAGCAAACGGG
rnacentral:rRNA from 1 species